CACAUGCUUCCUUAGAUCCACCUUUGUGGAUGCCAGUCUUGAGCUGAGUUCUACUUGUAAACUUCUGGUUUCUUGUAGUUCCAGUCAAAGAAACAUCCAGCAACUUUUUUGGUUGUAUAGUCAAAGGUGCUUGAGUCAUUGGCAUGUAAGAUAAAUAUACCUGCAUGUUAGUCUUAGGUUCUGAUAGAAAUGACAUGCAAUUGUGCUGCCAUUUUUUGCUAUCAGGACUCGACUGGUGUGCGGACACU
rnacentral:snoRNA from 1 species